rnacentral:rRNA from 1 species
GUACCCCAAACCGACACAGGUGGUCAGGUAGAGAAUACCAAGGCGCUUGAGAGAACUCGGGUGAAGGAACUAGGCAAAAUGGUGCCGUAACUUCGGGAGAAGGCACGCUGGCAUGUAGGUGAAGUCCUUCGCGGAUGGAGCUGAAGCCAGUCGAAGAUACCAGCUGGCUGCAACUGUUUAAUAAAAACACAGCACUGUGCAAACACGAAAGUGGACGUAUACGGUGUGACGCCUGCCCGGUGCUGGAAGGUUAAUUG